rnacentral:lncRNA from 10 species
CCCAUGAUUCCAUUAUCUCCACCUGGCCCUGCCCUUGACAUGUGGGGAUUAUUAAAGUUCAAGGUGAGAUUUGGGUGACACAGCCAAACCAUAUCAGACCCAGAUAAUCUCACCCUUCAAGAGGAAUAAGGCAAGAGCAAGAAAUGUGGGGAGCUGAGUCUAAGGAAAGUGCAUUUAACAGGAAGUGGUGUGGAUGAACUCUCUAAAACCUCCAUGUGACUCCCUGUGACCACUGUCCGUGUGACAUGGUCUUCACCUAUUUGGCAACAGAAAAGAGAGAUGUGGGUCAGGAGGGAAACCAACUGUAAAGGAAGUGGAUGGAUGAAGGGAAAGGAUGAUGAAACUUCCACCUGCCCUGACUUCCUCCCAACACCUUUCUCUAGGCCAAAUCCAUAUCACCUCCCAGGGAUAGCCCUGUGGCCUGCUGGGACACAGCCAUCUGGCAGGGUCUGCAUGGCUGGGCCUCCUCUGGGCAGGGAUUUCCAGUGCGGCCAGUUCCACCUCAGCAGCCUGUUAGAGGCAUGGUGGGGGUCUGCCUGAGGUCUCCCCUACUCUCCCGCCCAUGGUGCCUGUGAAUGAGAUGUGCCCUGUCACAGGAGCUAGACUUCUGAGCCCCAGUCACCCCUUCCCAGGAAAAAAUGGGGACAAAAUCCCCAACUUCUCUUCUUUCUCAUCCUCCUCCCCUUUCCCAUCCUGCCCCAAGACCCUAGCCUUGAAAGCUUUAGGAUCUGCCUAGAAUGUGUGCCCACAGUGGGUGCCAAGGCAGUGACCAAGCCAAGUCUCCCAGCACCCACUCAUAUGAUAAGGCCUACCCAGUACACCGUGAAAGCAGACCUGGGGCAGAAUGGGGGGUGAGUGGGUAGGACAGUACCUCAAGUGAAAGGAGUGAGCACUGGACCAGGAGUCUGAGGAUCUGGACCCCAGUCCUUGUUCCAGUGCAGUGUGGUGCUAGGCAAAUCACUUAACCCCUCUGAGCCUGCGUUAUCUCAUCUCUCAAAUCAGUUGACACUUUUACCUGCCUUGCCAACCUCCUGACUUCUGGGAUAUGUAAAGAUGAUCAAGCCUGACUCAUUCCCCUUACUCCCAAGCCCAAGUUAUAUCCCUCUCUAUCUGUCCACAGAAGCUCAACUUUCUCCUUCACUGCACUUACAUCACAUCCCCGCUUACUUGUUAAACCUGCACCCCUGCCAUUAAUAAAAUUGCCUUGGGGACAACACACACAUAUUUAGACAUGGGGCCUAGUGCAGUGAUACCUGUUCCAGGACUUGAUAUAGGACGUGCUCAAGAAAUGUUAAAUGAACAAAUGAAUUCAGCAAGCAAGUAAAUAACAGAGUGUGUGAAUGUGUCUUUUCAACUAUCAGGCUUGAUCUAAAUGUAAAGGACCAGGGAUGAGACCUAAGUAGUUCCUGGGUAGCUGACCUGCCCUGGCUCACAGCCAAUGCCAAUUACCUGCCCCUGCCCUCCAGUCAAAAAUGAUUGGAUUUGAGGUUGACACCUAACUCAAAUCUGUUCAUCUAUUGGCUGACAAACUGCCAACCAGACUCUUCCAGUAUUUGAACUGUCACAGAAAUAAUAAAUCAUGAGAUGAAAGUAGGUGAUUGAACAGAAACAUUAUGUAGAGUCAUGGUUGGGACAGCCAUAUUGGUCCAUUACACUAGAAGCAACCAAAGAGAGAGGACACAGAGAGACAGAGAUGAGCGAGAUCAUCUGAGCCUUGGAAUUGGAGAGGAGAUCUCAGUUCCCAACAUUCCAGUCGCAUUUCCAGUCUGACUGUACUUUGUGUCUUGUCUUUGGAAGUCUGAGAGAUUUUCCCUUGAAGUUGUAGAAGAAAUCCUUUGCUUAGGCUGGGGUUGGAAUGGGGGUUGGAGUAUCUGUUCCUUACACUCAAAUAAUCUCUCAUUAAAACACUGGGAAAACAAGAUACAAUCUCUUAUUAACAGGUACAAUCUUAUCUACAAGGAGAAGAAAAAGACACCCACAAGGGCUGAGGCACAUGUACUCAUCGGAGGCAGGAGUAAAUAUGAGGGCCCCCCUCUGGCCCAGGGCAAACUGAAUCCCAAGGCUGAUGGUGGGAGUGGUCAUUCUCUGAGGAUUUCAAAGAUACUUCUCUUGGAUGAGCAGAGGAGGUUGAGCCAGAAACCAGGAAAAAGUUCCAAAGAAAUAAAGCGUCAGCCUGGCAUGUUAUUGCUGGAGCUGAGGGCCAACAGUUGGUGCCCAGUGUUGGAGGCAGCCUCCCAGGACCCUCUGCAGAGAUUGGCUGACUUGAAGGGCUGGGAAACCCAUCAAACCAAGAGAUGGCCAAGCUCACAGUAGGCCAAAACGCAAACAAAUCAUAGGCACAAAGCAAUAUAACUAAGAGAAGGAGACAUGGCCAACUUUGGGCAUAAUCACUGGGAUCCUGGUAAGAGUAGAUUUCUCAUCCAGAGCUGUAAGUAACUCAGAUGGUAUUUGUCAUAAAAUUAUGAAACACUGUGGGACUUGCGGUUUCUGUAAUUUGUCUGCCUCAGAAGAGCUAAUGUUUAUUGAUUUUCUUCUGUACAAGGCAGAAUCAUCCAUUUGGUUUGCCAGUGUUGAAAGUUCUCAGGUUCAGCAAUAGCAGUAGUCAGAUAUCAGCAUCUGUGCACCAAUUUCCUAAGCCCUAUCUCCCCAGGCCGAUGUGAAGAGAGACAGCUGACACCCUUUACUCUGAAGAGAAACACUGUCUCCAUCUUCCAAAGUUAUUUACUACACUAACAACCUUGAAAAGAUAGUCCAGGAUAAGGGACAGUCGGUAUUUCGCUCACAGAUGCACAAAACGGUAGGAGACCCAUGAAUAAUUAUUUCCCAGCGAUGCGUAGCUGAGCCUGCAGUUCAUUGUUUUUCCCCAGAUUUGAUCCCAGGGAUACCUAAAAUGAGAUAAUGAAUGAGCAUAAAUGCAAAACCA